UACAGAGGGUGCAAACGUUGCUCGGAAUCAUUGGGCGUAAAGCGCACGUAGGCGGCCCAGCAAGUGGGGAGUGAAAGCCCUCGGCUUAACCGAGGAGGUGCUUUCCAAACUACUGGGCUUGAAUACUGGAGAGGGUCGCGGAAUUCCCGGUGUAGAGGUGAAAUUCGUAGAUAUCGGGAGGAACACCAGUGGCGAAGGCGGCGACCUGGACAGAUAUUGACGCUGAGGUGCGAAAGCGUGGGGAGCAAACAGG
rnacentral:rRNA from 1 species